rnacentral:rRNA from 1 species
CAGCCGCCGCGGUAAUACGAAGGGUGCAAGCGUUAAUCGGAAUUACUGGGCGUAAAGCGUGCGUAGGCGGUUGUGUAAGACAGGUGUGAAAUCCCCGGGCUCAACCUGGGAAUGGCAGUGGAUACUGGCUCGCUAGAGUGUGUCAGAGGAUGGUGGAAUUCCCGGUGUAGCGGUGAAAUGCGUAGAGAUCGGGAGGAACAUCUGUGGCGAAGGCGACUAUCUGGGCCAACACUGACACUGAGGCACGAAAGCGUGGGGAGCAAACAGGAUUAGAUACCCCUGUAGUCCCUGUCUCUUAUAC